ACGCUUCUCCUAAAGACUAAGCCAUGCAUGUCUUCGAAUAAGAGGUAGCAAUACUCUCUGAAUCUGCGAACGGCUCCGCAAACCAGUUGUAAACUAUAGCAAGCCCGCGACGUCGCCCUUUCACGAGGGCGGCCGAGCAAUAGGGAUAACCCUGGUAAUUCUGAGGCUAAUACCGCCAUGUACUUCCUGGCCGACCGGGCAACUGGAAGGCCGGAGGGCGUGCGUGUUUUUCGCGAUUUUUUACCAGGAAAGGACGCAUGUCAGGACCGCGCUAACGGAUGCCGUCUUUCGGGGCGGUUUCUAGCGGCUCUUGCUGUGUGCUUCUGACCUAUCAACUAGAUGGCAGCGUAACGGACAUGCUAUGGUUUCAACGGGUACAGAGGAUUAGGGUUCGAUCCUGGAGAGUGGGCCUGAGAGAUUGCUCAUACUUCUAAGGAAGGCAGCAGGCGCGCAACGUUCCCAUUGGACAUCGUCCGAGGGCGUUAGGGGACAUAUGAAUGGCUGCCCUUUAGGGCGGCCAAUUCAAAUGGGUUUGUUUUAAACAGGCUC
rnacentral:rRNA from 1 species